GACAGGUGUCCUCCCUAGACAGGUGUCCUCCCUAGACAGACAGGUGUCCUCCCUAGACAGACAGGUGUCCUCCCUAGACAGGUGUCC